GGGUUGGCCGAGCUACACUCAAAUCCAUGUGCAGUCCAUGUGAAUUCUAGUACCCACUAAGAAAUUAGUGUAAUUCUUCGAAUUGAAGAUAGAGGCUAUCAAUUCGAAUAAAAUAGUGAGAGAACCAUUAGACUAAAAUCUAUAUCUUUAGACUUAAUUAAUUCAUAUACUAAUUAGGUUUUUUUUUUUGCAGUUAUGGCCACCACC
rnacentral:lncRNA from 1 species